rnacentral:misc_RNA from 1 species
AGGUCGUAACAAUGUUUCCGUAGGUGAACAAGGAUCGUUAACACGUGUCCAAACGUAAAAAACCCCCCCGUGAACAUUCAAUCUGCUCUUGAAACCCGCGUAGUUUGCAAUCUAUGGUAAAUCAUAGAAGUAGUUUUGAUUCAGAGACCUCUGGCUACUGAGAACAUUGGAACAGUCAUCGAGCGGGAGUUUCAUAGGCAUUGUUUCCCCGAGCAGUCAUCGUCUGAAAGUGUCACUGAUGUGCAAAGGAUAGCGCUUCAACGAUGCCUGUAGACCGUACACAGGAGCUAUGCCAAGGGGUCCCCAUGCCCCUUAUAACCCCACAGUUUAAUGUAAAGCUCAAUGUAAUACAUUGGGUAAAAAAACCGAACAACUGUUAACAAUGGGUAUCUUGCUUCUC